rnacentral:rRNA from 1 species
UACGAAGGGGGCUAGCGUUGCUCGGAAUCACUGGGCGUAAAGGGUGCGUAGGCGGGUCUUUAAGUCAGGGGUGAAAUCCUGGAGCUCAACUCGGGAACUGCGUCCGAUACUGGCGGGCUUGAAUCCGGGAGAGGGAGUGCGGAAUUCCAGGUGUAGCGGUGAAAUGCGUAGAUAUCUGGAGGAACACCGGUGGCGAAGGCGGCAUCCGUGGACCGGCAUUGACGCUGAGGCGGCGGAAAGCUAAGGGGAGCCAA